UGGUAAUAUAAAUAUGGAAUGUUAACAUUGCAGUAUUAGUUUAGUUUAAUACAUAAACAACACAAUACUUUUAAGACAUAUUCAAGUUAGUGUUAGUUAUAGAAGCAAAUCAUUGUCGCAGUUUUGGGACUGAAUAUUUCAAUAGUAAUUAAUUUCAAUAGUAACAAAUUUCCAAGAAAAUAUAAAUAUUAACACCUUGGCUGCGUUUGGAGAUAUUUAUAAACUUUGAUUGCAUUACGAGGCAUAUAUGUCCGGUACCUACUUAGUGAACCUUUGCAGGGCCUACUUUACCACUAGGCCCGUGAGGCACCUGCCUCGGGCCCGUAUCUGAAUGGGGCCCAUUAGAAUGAAAUAUAUAGAAAAGACGUCUGCCAAGGAGGCUUUCUUCAGGACCGGAGCGAAGACAGAAUAUGUAUUGUUUUAUUUUAUUAUUUUUAUUUUACUCUGUAAGUAUAUAAAUAUCCAUAAUAUAUUUAUUUAUUUUUAAA
rnacentral:lncRNA from 1 species